CACGAACCGAGCGAACGUUGUUCGGAAUCACUGGGCUUAAAGGGCGCGUAGGCGGGCUGUCAAGUCUGGGGUGAAAUCCCGCGGCUCAACCGUGGAACUGCCUUAGAUACUGACGGCCUCGAGGGAGAUAGGGGCGAGCGGAACUGUGAGUGGAGCGGUGAAAUGCGUUGAUAUUCACAGGAACUCCGGUGGCGAAGGCGGCGCGCUGGAUCUCUUCUGACGCUGAGGCGCGAAAGCUAGGGGAGCAAACGGG
rnacentral:rRNA from 1 species